rnacentral:rRNA from 1 species
UAGCGUAUAUUAAAGUUGUUGCAGUUAAAAAGCCUCGUAGUUGGAUUUCUGGCAAGGCAGAGCUAACCUGGCACUAUGUGUCGUGUGUUGGACUCGGUCUGCCAUCCUUCCAGAAAAGCACUAAACCAUUCAUUUGGCCUUGGUGUCGAUCUGGAACUUUUACUUUGAAAAAAUUAGAGUGUUCAAAGCAGGCGUUACGCUAUGAAUACAUUAGCAUGGAAUAAUAAUCUAGGACUUCAGUUCUAUUUUGUUGGUUUCUAGGACCGGAGUAAUGAUUGAUAGGGAUAGUUGGGGGUGCUAGUAUUCAGCGGCCAGAGGUGAAAUUCUUGGAUUCGCUGAAGACUAACUUAUGCGAAAGCAUUCACCAAGGAUGUCUUCUUUAAUCAAGAACGAAAGUUGGGGGAUCGAAGACGAUCAGAUACCGUCGUAGUCUCAACCAUAAACUAUACCGACUAAGGAUGAGUGAGCGUCUAUUUCGACAUCAUUCGCACUUUAUGAGAAAUCAAAGUCUUUGGGUUCCGGGGGGAGUAUGGUCGCAAGGCUGAAACU